rnacentral:rRNA from 1 species
CAUAUCGGACCCAGGGCGAAAGCCUGAUCCAGGCAUGCCGCGCGAGUGAUAACGGCCUUAUGGUCACAAAGAUUUGUCAGUGGUGAAGAUAAUGAGAAUAACCACAGAAGAAGACCAUGGUAAAUCUCUGCCACCACCCGCGGUAUUAUGGAGGGGGCAAGAGUUUUUUCGAAUUUCUGGGCGUAAAGAGGGUCUAGGGGGGUUUCUAAAUCUCAGGGGAAAUAUCCCAGAUCUAAUCUAGAAAAGCCUCUGAUAAAGGAGAUGAUGAGUCCGGAAGAGGGUAGGGGAAUUUCCAGUGUGGAGGGGAAAAUUGUAGAUAUUGGGAAGAACACCCCUGGCGAAGGGGCAUAAUUGGUCCGCUUUAGACGCGGAGGUGGGAAAAAGUGGGGAGCAAACACGAUAAGAUACCCCGGGAGACCACACCCUA